rnacentral:rRNA from 1 species
UACGUAGGCGGCAAGCGUUAUCCGGAAUUAUUGGGCGUAAAGCGCUCGCAGGCGGUUUCUUAAGUCUGAUGUGAAAGCCCACGGCUCAACCGUGGAGGGUCAUUGGAAACUGGGGAACUUGAGUGCAGAAGAGGAGAGUGGAAUUCCACGUGUAGCGGUGAAAUGCGUAGAGAUGUGGAGGAACACCAGUGGCGAAGGCGACUCUCUGGUCUGUAACUGACGCUGAGGAGCGAAAGCGUGGGGAGCAAACAGG